rnacentral:rRNA from 1 species
GACGAACGCUGGCGGCGUGCCUAAUACAUGCAAGUUGAGCGCUGAAGGUUGGUACUUGUACCAACUGGAUGAGCAGCGAACGGGUGAGUAACGCGUGGGGAAUCUGCCUUUGAGCGGGGGACAACAUUUGGAAACGAAUGCUAAUACCGCAUAAAAACUUUAAACACAAGUUUUAAGUUUGAAAGAUGCAAUUGCAUCACUCAAAGAUGAUCCCGCGUUGUAUUAGCUAGCUGGUGAGGUAAAGGCUCACCAAGGCGAUGAUACAUAGCCGACCUGAGAGGGUGAUCGGCCACAUUGGGACUGAGACAAGGCCCAAACUCCUACGGGAGGCAGCAGUAGGGAAUCUUCGGCAAUGGACGAAAGUCUGACCGAGCAACGCCGCGUGAGUGAAGAAGGUUUUCGGAUCGUAAAACUCUGUUGGUAGAGAAGAACGUUGGUGAGAGUGGAAAGCUCAUCAAGUGACGGUAACUACCCAGAAAGGGACGGCUAACUACGUG